UACGUAGGGGGCGAGCGUUGUCCGAAGUUACUGGGCGUAAAGCGCGCGUAGGCGGGCGGGUAAGUCGGAAGUGAAAGGCUGGGGCUCAACCGCAGCAGGGCUUCCGAGACUGCCCGUCUUGAGGGCGGCAGGGAGAGGUGGAAUGGCUGGUGUAGCGGUGAAAUGCGUAGAGAUCAGUCGGAACACCGGUGGCGAAGGCGGCCUCUUGGGCCGUUCCUGACGCUGAGGCGCGAAAGCCAGGGGAGCGAACGGG
rnacentral:rRNA from 1 species